GUAAGUGUGGCAUAGUGGUUUGAGUGUUGGACUGCAGCUCUAAAGACCAGGGUUAGAUUCCCAGCUUGGACA